CCCCGUCGCUAUCCCUCUCUAGGCUCUAGGGACCUAGACGAUCUUUUGCGUGGGUGGAUGGGUGGGUCGCUUCGAUCGAUCGGGAUGAUGAUGAUUGGUGGUGGCGGCGGCGGCGGCCGACGUUGACUCGCGACCGUUCGUAGAUUUAGGGUUUUACCAAGGCAGCAGACGUGUUCUGAGUCAACGCUGACUAAAGGGUGUAAAUGGGUGUUACAGUGUAUUGCAUCGACCAACUACGCUAUGGAAGAUUUGUUAUUUAUCUAUGGACAUCUGGAAACCGCCUUCUGCUUC